rnacentral:rRNA from 1 species
GAUGAACGCUGGCGGCGUGCCUAAUACAUGCAAGUCGAGCGAACAGACGAGGAUCUUGCUCCUCUGACGUUAGCGGCGGACGGGUGAGUAACACGUGGAUAACCUACGUAUAAGACUUGGGUAACUUCGGCAAACCGUAGCUAAGACCGUAUAAUAUAUUGAACCGGAUGGUUCAAGAGUGAAAUACGGGUUUUCUGUCACUUAUAGAUGGAUCCGCGCCGCCUUAGCUAGAUGGUAAGGUAAUGGCUUACCAAGGCAACGAUGCGUAGCCGAACUCAGCGGCGGAUCGGCCGCCUGGGAACGUAGACAGGGUCAAGAGUACUACGGGAGGGCGCAGUAUGGAACCUGACGCAAUAGUGGAAAGCAUGACGGAGCAAGGGAGAGUGAGUGAUGAAAGCCUCCGGAUCGUAAAAAUCUGUUAUUAGGGAAGAACCAAUGUGUACGUAAAUAUGCACGUAUUGACGGUACCUACUCAGAAAGCGACGGCUAACUACGUG